rnacentral:rRNA from 1 species
GUGGGGAAUUUUGGACAAUGGGCGAAAGCCUGAUCCAGCCAUGCCGCGUGUGUGAAGAAGGUCUUCGGAUUGUAAAGCACUUUAAGUUGGGAGGAAGGGCAGUAAGUUAAUACCUUGCUGUUUUGACGUUACCGACAGAAUAAGCACCGGCUAACUUCGUGCCAGCAGCCGCGGUAAUACGAAGGGUGCAAGCGUUAAUCGGAAUUACUGGGCGUAAAGCGCGCGUAGGUGGUUUUGUAAGUUGGAGGUGAAAUCCCCGGGCUCAACCUGGGAACUGCCUCCAAAACUGCAUGACUAGAGUACGGUAGAGGGUAGUGGAAUUUCCUGUGUAGCGGUGAAAUGCGUAGAUAUAGGAAGGAACACCAGUGGCGAAGGCGACUACCUGGACUGAUACUGACACUGAGGUGCGAAAGCGUGGGGAGCAAACAGGAUUAGAUACCCGUGUAGUCC